GUAGACGAGUAAUUGGAAUUGUCCCAGAGAGGACAGAAGAGUAGAUGACAAAUAAAUGAGUCCAUGUCAUUUGCAGUGAACUACAUUUUGUUUCAGUGAACAAAUGUGCUACAAGUUUUCAGUCUGACUCCUCAAGAGGAGGGGAAAUACCUGAAUAACUCUCAGGCAAAACGGAAUGCCUGGGAAGGAAUUCACCACUACAAGAGAGAGACUGGAAAUUUCAGAGCCUGCAGUUCAAAGUGCCUGAUACUGCUUGGAAGGCAAUGUGGUUCCUUCCUGCUGACCUCAGUUCUGCUGAGUGUUAUUUGCAUUUGGGGAGUAGUGUUCUCAACACACCAAAAUGUUGCGAUCUCCUACAGAGAGAGAAUGAAGAUGAAUGGCUUUGGUUGGUGUAUCGAACCCAUUGCAAGCUCACCCAGAAAGCCACCGAGCCGUCUGGUGACAGAUUUUUCUUCUUUAUGAAUUCAGUGCCAUGUACUGAGAAGAACAACACACUGUCAUGCACUUCCACAGCUCCCUGUUGUGACUUCAGACACUGUUUCUCACAAAAAGUCCUCCACGGCUAUGAAUUUCAAGACUUUACUUGUGUGUAAUACACAAUGCAUUUUCAAAAUGCUAAAGAAUGUAAAGUUCUCAUUUAGAACUAAAGAUCACCUGAAGUAUUUAAUGUCCUUUCAUUACAUUAGAAGUCUUGGCAACUUUGUUUUUCAGCAUGUGGAAGCGAAGCCUAAACGUAAUAUUUACUUGGAUGCUUUAAAAGAAAAACCUUACUCUGAUAGCGACAAUAUAACUGUUGUAUAAUGCCUGGGAGGGAAAGUGCCAAAGCAUAAAAAAAUCUCCAAAGCUUAAAGACAUAUUUAUGAAUCUUAAAUGGAAGAAUUAACAGUUACAAACAUCUGGAUUUCCUUUGAAAGCUGUCUAUUAUGUUAUAGGGAUUCCCUGCUGAACUGUACAAUUCCAGAGCUGCUAUGGCCAGUACUCAGUUAUGAUAUUUGCUGUAGUUCUAGUUCUUCUGGUGGACCUUUCAUUUCAGCUAUGGAGAGGUUUCAAAAGUAAACUUUUUCUGGCUGUUCUCUACCACUGUGAUGACAUAGUAUCCAGACUGCAUGGGAGUGUCUUGAGCCUACAGAUGCAUGCACUCAGGCAAGCUUCCAAAAGACUUUGCCAAAAGUACAUCUUCCUACAAUUUGCUGCCUUACUACUGCAGAAUUAAUGCUAGUCCAGUUGAAAUGAAACAAGAUCUACAGAUAACUUGUAAAACAUAUCUACAAGGACUUUCACUGACCCUUCAUACUUUGUAGAACACCGUGUCCAGGAAGGAGAAAAAUAAUAAAAGUUUGGUGAAAAGUACUAACAGGUAAACAAAUGGACUGAAAAUUUGAAUGUCAUGGUGUAACUAGGCUCACAGAAGAUGCAAACUUCUCAAUUACAGCAAAUUCUCAAUUGCAAUUCUCAAUUGCAGCAAAAGAACCUAUGAACUUCAGAUUUGGAUCAUUGAAAAGAUGUGGUGAAGUUUACUGGCCAAAUGAAAUAUUCCCAAGACAAGUUCCAUGAAAUAUGAAGUUUUAAUACAAGAGCUGCUUCAAAAAUAAUGUUUCCCUUUUUUAUUAUGUUGGCCCACAGAGUCAGAGGUAGAUGUUGGUAGUAUGGUAGAAGAGGUUGAACUUUCACACCAUGAAGGUUUGUUGCUAUGUGACAGAUGGCAGUAGAGGGGCAGUCUGAUAAAAUGGUGUCUGCCAUGGAAAGGCAUGAGAAGAAAAAGUGUGUCAUUGAAUUUCUCCAUGCAGAAAAAAAAAAACCUGCAACCAUUGAUGGUCCUGGAUGCUUGGUGAAUGUUAAUAGAGACCAAGCAGUGGAUAUGAGCACAGUUAGGUGGUGGGUGGUGCAUUCCAACAAUGGCACUGCCAUAGCAGCUUUGAAAUAAUGGGUCAACCUCUACUGGUGCAGAUUUUUACUGGUGUGGCAUGCAAGCUCUUGUUCACUAGCUCUUGCUGGUGAAAAUGCGUAGCUAAUGAUGGUGAUUAUGUUGGAAAAUAGUGUUUUGUAGCUGAGAGUUUGCUCUAUCAAAUAGUGUUAUUGUGUUCUUUGUAUCUGUUGUAGUUUCCACGGAAAUAAAUAGGAGGCCUUACUUUUGGAGUAACCUAUGUAUUUAUAUUUCUUUUUGCACUCCUCAAGAAAUUUUGGGAGUAAUGUUAGGAUUAUGAUGAUAAAAUCGAUAAUUUCAUGAGCUAGCCCAAAAUAAUUUCAGAGAAAAAUAAUCACAUGCAAUGGAAAUACCUAUUUAUUAAGUUCCUUAUUCAUUAAUGAAAACAAAACAUUUUAUGAAAUGCCAGUUUCCUUUAUGUCUUACGUUUUUAAUUUAAGAAGGAAAUCAUUAUUAACUGCGUUUUGUACUUAAAUGGAAAUUAGCCUUGCCCGUGUAAAUGACUGCAGCAGUAAACCUGAGUAACAAGAAAUGCAUUGCUUUUCUUCUUAAAUCUGGCUUUGAAAGAAGAAAAUAAAGAUUUGUCAUCCCUUAAGGAAGCAAAUGGCCUGAUUUUGUCAUCAGUUGUCAUUUCACUCUUAACUCAAUAAAUCUUAAUCUUCAAAGUCAGUAUUGGCUUAUUAAAGAUAAACUGCAAUUCUGGAUGAUGUUUCCUCUCUUCCUGUAUUUGUUCCCAUGAAAUACACAUUACCCUUGACACAAUGGUUUUCUGUGCCUAUCCUAAGUAUCAAUUCAAUGCUAUUAAAUGCAUGUCUAAUACUAAAUAAAGCAUGCAGAUUAAGCACUCCUUAUUACAUGUACUUCAGUUUAUUGACUCACACCUUAGGUUUGUUUCUGUAUUGAGAGAGUAGUAAUUUACUGCAUGUGAUUUAUAGUUCCUAGGCAGUGGAAUGUAUAUACAUAAUGUAUUAAAUUUAAUGAAUGAUGAAAGUGUUAAAAAUUUCCGAAAUAAAAAUAGUUGUGUGUUCUUCAAAUUUAUUACUGCUUUGAAAUUAUUUUCACAAGUAUUUACAAGACUUCGUAGCAAAAGUGAAUCAUCACAGAUCCUGCAUCAGUGUUUUACAUUCACUGCAAAAUGUUGUAGACUGAAUAUCACUGAUAAUUUGACGCUGUUUUGACCCUAUUUAUUAAAGUAAUUAGGACUGAAUUCUGCUGGCUCACCAGGUUCUCCUAUUUGCUGAUGUAUCCUCAAGCUGCUAGUAGCAAUUCAGAUGCAAUGCUUUAACUCUUAUUCACUCACAUGAUGGGAAUAAAUUGUACCAUGGAUUAGGAUUAUUCACAUGCUAUAAGAACUGAAUCUACAACAUUUUCUCAAGUAUUACUUUUAGACACUGCAGAUCAAGAAUCAGAAUAUCUUGAAGAAAUUCCAACAAAACCUGGAAUUUCUUGGAUUCUUUAAAAUAACAGUUCUGUAAAAAAAAAAAGAGAGUAAUAUCCUGUCUACUGAUAAAGAGUAGGAUUAUCAUCAAUAAAGAAAGCCAGAUUUCCCAGCUUGUUUAAAAGAGACAGUAUUUCUAACUAUCCAGACAAAGCUAAUAGUAAGAGGUAAUUAAUCUAUGAGUUAAUCAAAUACAUAUUUUAGGAUUCGUUCCCUUCACUUAUACUGCCACAGUUGAAUUAGUUGUCCUUAAGAAAUAAUUUGAGUAGUGUUACUACGACAGAGUAGUACUAACCAGAAGUUCAGUCACUGUUAAUUAGUUUAUGUGAUAGUAAUAAAAAAAAAAAAAUAGUACUAGCCUACAAUCUAGAGUUUUACCAGUUCUUUCC
ensembl:lncRNA